GCAUCGGUGGUUCAGUGGUAGAAUGCUCGCCUGCGGGCGGCCCGGGUUCAAUUCACGGCCGAUGCA
rnacentral:tRNA from 1 species